AUGUGUUGUAAUAUUAGCUUCUUUUCUUCUUCUUUCUUCUUUUUUUCUCUCUCUAUAUAUAGUUGGCACAGAAGAAGCUGUGGGAGCUUGGGGAACAGACUGAGAGCUUUGUACUUGUGUACUAGGCCAUGUUGCCUAGCAAACCAACCAUGCCGGGAGAAAGAGGUUAGGAGCCUUCCCCAUGGUGGCAGCAGAACAGUGAAACUAAAAACAAUCAAGCAACACCAAAAGAGACAUUCACUCAGAAGAGAGGGGAAGAACUAUUCCUCCAGUUUUCUAAUACUAGGUAAAAUUUUAAAAAACAUAUAUACAUAUAUAUUUCAGGGAAAUAGAGUGCUGUCACUCACUGGCUGUGCAAUUGUUUUGAUUUGUGCAAUUGAUUUAUGACUGAUAUCCCCAUGAACGUACCAAUUGCACAUGUAAAGCUGACAGUUUCUCUGCAAUAGGGAUAAUGCUAAUAAACAACUAUAUAUAACUACGGGCA
rnacentral:lncRNA from 1 species